UGGGGAAUUUUGCGCAAUGGACGCAAGUCUGACGCAGCAACGCCGCGUGGAGGAUGAAGGUCUUAGGAUUGUAAACUUCUGUUAACUGGAAAGAAAUACUCAAAAAUAAUACGUUUGAGUGAUGACGUUACCGGUAAAGAAAGCCCCGGCUAACUUCGUGCCAGCAGCCGCGGUAAUACGAAGGGGGCAAGCGUUAUUCGGAAUGAUUGGGCGUAAAGAGCGUGUAGGCGGUUGAAUAAGUUCGGUGUUUAAUUCUCUGGCUUAACUAGAGGCAUGCAUUGAAUACUGUUCGGCUAGAGUGCGAUAGAGAAAAGUGGAAUUCUUGGAGUAGCGGUAAAAUGCGUAGAUCUCAAGAGGAACGCUAAUGGCGAAGGCAGCUUUUUGGAGCGCAACUGACGCU
rnacentral:rRNA from 1 species